ACCCUUAGAUGUCCUGGGCCGCACGCGCGCUACACUGACGGAGGCAGCGAGCUUACCCCUUUGCCGAAAGGCAUGGGAAAUCUUUUGAAUCUCCGUCGUGCUGGGGAUAGAUCAUUGCAAUUAUUGAUCUUGAACGAGGAAUUCCUAGUAAGCGCAAGUCAUCAACUUGCGUUGAUUACGUCCCUGCCCUUUGUACACACCGCCCGUCGCUACUGCCGACUGAGAUGUGGGUCCCAAAGUGUCAGGAUUGCCCCGCUGCGAGGCCUACCCGGCCCCGAUUGCGGUCACGGCAAGAAUAUCAUUAAGUGGAAUGUCUUGUAGGGAGUAAAAGUCGUAACA
rnacentral:rRNA from 1 species